rnacentral:rRNA from 1 species
AUGAACGCUAGCUACAGGCUUAACACAUGCAAGUCGAGGGGCAGCAUGGUCUUAGCUUGCUAAGGCCGAUGGCGACCGGCGCACGGGUGAGUAACACGUAUCCAACCUGCCGUCUACUCUUGGACAGCCUUCUGAAAGGAAGAUUAAUACAAGAUGGCAUCAUGAGUCCGCAUGUUCACAUGAUUAAAGGUAUUCCGGUAGACGAUGGGGAUGCGUUCCAUUAGAUAGUAGGCGGGGUAACGGCCCACCUAGUCUUCGAUGGAUAGGGGUUCUGAGAGGAAGGUCCCCCACAUUGGAACUGAGACACGGUCCAAACUCCUACGGGAGGCAGCAGUGAGGAAUAUUGGUCAAUGGGCGAGAGCCUGAACCAGCCAAGUAGCGUGAAGGAUGACUGCCCUAUGGGUUGUAAACUUCUUUUAUAAAGGAAUAAAGUCGGGUAUGCAUACCCGUUUGCAUGUACUUUAUGAAUAAGGAUCGGCUAACUCCGUGCCAGCAGCCGCGGUAAUACGGAGGAUCCGAGCGUUAUCCGGAUUUAUUGGGUUUAAAGGGAGCGUAGAUGGAUGUUUAAGUCAGUUGUGAAAGUUUGCGGCUCAACCGUAAAAUUGCAGUUGAUACUGGAUAUCUUGAGUGCAGUUGAGGCAGGCGGAAUUCGUGGUGUAGCGGUGAAAUGCUUAGAUAUCACGAAGAACUCCGAUUGCGAAGGCAGCCUGCUAAGCUGCAACUGACAUUGAGGCUCGAAAGUGUGGGUAUCAAACAGGAUUAGAUACCCUGGUAGUCCACACGGUAAACGAUGAAUACUCGCUGUUUGCGAUAUACAGCAAGCGGCCAAGCGAAAGCGUUAAGUAUUCCACCUGGGGAGUACGCCGGCAACGGUGAAACUCAAAGGAAUUGACGGGGGCCCGCACAAGCGGAGGAACAUGUGGUUUAAUUCGAUGAUACGCGAGGAACCUUACCCGGGCUUAAAUUGCAGAUGAAUUACGGUGAAAGCCGUAAGCCGCAAGGCAUCUGUGAAGGUGCUGCAUGGUUGUCGUCAGCUCGUGCCGUGAGGUGUCGGCUUAAGUGCCAUAACGAGCACAACCCUUGUUGUCAGUUACUAACAGGUCAUGCUGAGGACUCUGACAAGACUGCCAUCGUAAGAUGUGAGGAAGGUGGGGAUGACGUCAAAUCAGCACGGCCCUUACGUCCGGGGCUACACACGUGUUACAAUGGGGGGUACAGAGGGCCGCUACCACGCGAGUGGAUGCCAAUCCCAAAAACCUCUCUCAGUUCGGACUGGAGUCUGCAACCCGACUCCACGAAGCUGGAUUCGCUAGUAAUCGCGCAUCAGCCACGGCGCGGUGAAUACGUUCCCGGGCCUUGUACACACCGCCCGUCAAGCCAUGGGAGCCGGGGGUACCUGAAGUGCGUAACCGCGAGGAGCGCCCUAGGGUAAAACUGGUGACUGGGGCU